rnacentral:ncRNA from 1 species
GUCGGAAUCGUGACCCUGGAAGCGCAGACGGUGACCCUGAAUACUGAGCUGCCGGGCCGGACCAAUGCGUUCCGCAUCGCCGAGGUGCGUCCCCAGGUGAACGGCAUCAUCCUCAAGCGCCUGUUCAAGGAAGGCAGCGACGUCAAGGCCGGGCAGCAGCUCUACCAGAUCGA